GACGAACGCUGGCGGCGUGCUUAACACAUGCAAGUCGAACGGAAAGGCCCUGCUUUUGUGGGGUGCUCGAGUGGCGAACGGGUGAGUAACACGUGAGUAACCUGCCCUUGACUUUGGGAUAACUUCAGGAAACUGGGGCUACUACCGGAUAGGAGCUCCUGCUCCAUUGUGGGGGUUGGAAAGUUUCGGCGGUUGGGGAUGGACUCGCGGCUUAUCAGCUUGUUGGUGGGGUAGUGGCUUACCAAGGCUUUGACGGGUAGCCGGCCUGAGAGGGUGACCGGCCACAUUGGGACUGAGAUACGGCCCAGACUCCUACGGGAGGCAGCAGUGGGGAAUAUUGCACAAUGGGCGGAAGCCUGAUGCAGCAACGCCGCGUGCGGGAUGACGGCCUUCGGGUUGUAAACCGCUGUCGCCUGUGACGAAGCGUGAGUGACGGUAAUGGGUAAAGAAGCACCGGCUAACUACGUG
rnacentral:rRNA from 1 species